rnacentral:rRNA from 1 species
GGACUACUGGGGUUUCUAAUCCUGUUCGCUCCCCACGCUUUCGCUCCUCAGCGUCAGUAUCGGCCCAGAGACCCGCCUUCGCCACCGGUGUUCCUCCUGAUAUCUGCGCAUUUCACCGCUACACCAGGAAUUCCAGUCUCCCCUGCCGAACUCCAGUGAUGCCCGUAUCGACCGCACGCCCACAGUUAAGCUGCAGGUUUUCACGGCCGACGCGACACACCGCCUACGAGCUCUUUACGCCCAAUAAUUCCGGACAACGCUCGCACCCUACGUGUUACCGCGGCGGCUGGCAC